UCUUCCAUGCUCUGCUCAUGAUGCUGGUUUGCUUGAUGUCUCAGAUUAUCCAUCUCCUUGGUUAACAUUUUCAGCUUUUCCUUCAACAUGGAAUUGGAUUCUUCAAGCUCUUUAGUAUGCCUUUGCUGCUCAGAGACUCUGUUCUUUAACCACUGAAGCUGAUGAUUCUCUUCUGUCAUUUGCCUGAUUCCAUUCACCACCAUUUCUUGAUAUGAUCUCAUCUCAUAUUUCAGCUUAACCCUACCUAAUAAUCAAUUUCAAAAAGCUCAAUUGCAUAAUUUAUCAUAAUAAUUCAGGGCUAUAAACGAGCUGAUUCUAGCAAUUUACAAUUGAAAAGAUAAAAAAUUUGGCCUUUUACAGGCUCGAAUUGAGGUCAAACUCAUUUAUAAAGUAAGUAGGCUCAAGUUCGGCUCGUUAAACUCAUCGAUCAUGUUUUUCUCUGUGAAAUCUCGAGCAGAUCGGCUCGUCUAUAUCCCUACAUAACAUCAUCUGUUUCGGACUUUAUGUGAUUUUCAAUUUAAUCCAUUACCUCUAACAAAUUUUUUAUUGAAGAAAUCAACAUCUUCUUUUUUUGCCAUGUAACCAUAAAGUUGGUGCUGUUCAGCUGAAAAGUUAAAGAGCCGCCGGUUAAGGAAAUCAUCUCUGCCUAUUCCCUCGCUUACAAAAUGUCUACAUAGACGCUCUGCUUCUAAAUAACCCUUUACUGAGCUUUCAAAAAUUAAGAUGCUGAAUCCACUAUGUCUCUUGUUAGGGUGUUGAACUCUCACAAUACCCUCAUAUGAACUGAACAUUUCCAGCAGCUCUUCACUUGUCAUGCCAAUCCUCUACAAUUCCAUCAAAAUCCAAACAAGAGAUAAGUAAUUUAUAUCUAUUUGUGCAAAUAAUAAGAUUAGGAGUGGAUAAUCUCACCUUAUAAUUCUCAUCCUCUUUGUAGGUUGUAUUAGCAAUUACAACCAUAGGAGGCCAAACCAUCUCAAAAUCUAUGUUAUUAUUGCUUAAACCUUUGCAUUUUGGACUUGCUGCUUCUUGAAUUAUAGUUGCAGAAAUUGCCUGCUGAUCAUUAGAAUGCAACUUGUCUUCCAGCAAUUGUGCAAGCUCUCUGUGGAGCCUAAUCCUUGUAGACCCUUUGGUUUUAGCAUGCUGAAUGAGGGGCUGCAGGCCCAAGUACAGUUCAGUGGUAUCUCCACCUCUUUGACAUACUGGGCAGUGCCAUUGUCUGGCUUGGUUUUUUAUCUCUUCAAAGAUCAAACAUCCUAGCUCCUUAAGAAAUUUCUUGAACCACUUGCUCUUCUUGCAAGCCUCAACUUUUCUUGGACUUGCUUCAGAAUCGUAAUCGUCGGUAUCAGGUAAUUCAUCUGAAUCACUAUUAGCAGGUUUUUUGCCAUUCUCUGAAUUAGUCUUCAGAUGCAAUUCUUUGCUGUAUCAUUGUUUUACCAAUUGUUAAACUACUUUAUAAUUAAGCUUAACUAAUAACACAAAUACAACACCAACACCAUCAACAAACUAUUUAUUUUUAACCCAGAAAUUAAAUGUGCACUGACCUGCAAGUAAAAUCCAUGGACAUUGUCCUUUCCCACAAAUUGAGCACAUCCUUGGAGAGCAAAUGCUUAAAAGAAUCCAAUUCUAGAACAUAAUCACAAUUUAAGCCUGGACAAGUGACAAUAUUGAAUCCCUCUUUGAUCUUUGCCUCUAAAUGCUUGCUUAGACAAUAAUCCAAGCAAAAUGAGUGACCACAUUUCCCAUUCUUGAGAACCUUACCUUUUUCUUUCCUUUCUUUACAAAUUUCACAAAAACUCAUAGAUGAUUCACCUCUUUGUACUUUGAUCUCUUGAAGUGAUGGUAUUUGACAAGUGAGCAAAGAGGCCUUUAGACUUUCUUGAAACUGCAAUUCUUCUGCCAUUGCCGCAUCAGAUAGUAGCCAAAGCUCUUUUUUUUCAUUUUCCAUCAACAAAUUAUGAGAAGUGGGUAUCUUAUUUAGAGGAAGAAGAUUAAAGGAUUCAGGAGCUAUUUCUAUUCUGCAGAAAUUUUUGGCGGGUUCUUUUAUGCUUUGCCGUCUCUAUAAAUGAAGUAGCUUAUUAUAUAGUAACAGCUUCCAUUUAAAUUGCCUACCAAGAACUUCACUUGGAAGUUAUCCGGAUUCUACUUCUUUGAGGGGCUCAACUUCUUUCUACGGCUUUUCCACAGUAUCAUGUGUUUGUUUGACAUUUUGCAUCUCUUACCUAUGAAGGACCUUAACAUAUGCAUGGGGGAAUAUUUGUAUAUAUGAUUUGGGGACAAGAAUUACUUUCUCCUUUUUUAUUGAUUCAUGCUGAUGAAUUUUGUUUUAUUUUAUAUAUUAUACUAUAGAUUUUUAUACUGUUCCAUUACGUUGUCAUUUUUAGCCCCUAACAAGAGAUUGAAUUGGAUUUCUUUCUGUGUCUUUUCCUUGUCCUUGUCCAUCAAGAGACAAGGAAAAAUUUUUAUUUGACAGCAAAAUUUGUUCCCUUUGUCAUUCUAAAUGAUUUUUAAGUUUUGUUUUAACAAAUGUUGGGUUGCUUUCUUCAAUCCAACUCAGAUGAUAACAACUUCUAGUGGUCCAACUCUGAUAAAUUCAAAGUUUCUGUACACAUGAAAAUAUUUUCAGGAAACCCUAUUUAUAAAGCGUAGAUAUAGUUGUUAUCAUUCACCAGCUUGCUAUUGCUAACAGUCUAAUUUACUGGAUAGGCAGUCAAGUCUUCAAGUUAAUAAAUUUUAUUUAUUUUUUAUUCCUGGUCUCAUUCAAAAGCUAAAAAUCUAUUUGCCAGAGAAAUCGGAGUCUGAUUUAUGAUAACAUUCGAAUAGUUGAUGUUUAAUCAUAAGUACAAUUCGGGAUAAAUUUUUGUUUUCAAUACAUAUUAGGAUCAGGGAUCAAUAGUUGCUCCAUUCCUUUCACAAAAAUGUAGACUCGCUUGCAGAAUGUGAAAGGCAGAGGAGAGAAUUAUGCUCUGGGGCUACCUAAUAAUUCUCAUUAGUAUGGGGAUUGAAGCACCAAGAACUGGGAUGGCAAGAUCUUUCCAUGACAUCUCAAAACACAUGGACCGAUGAUCGCUAACUCCCCGCUUUUCCCGGGGUCUCCCAGCAAAUCUUGAACUUGCACUUGCUCUUUCCCUUGCAAUUUCAGGUUUCUUAAUCUCUUCUCGUUCUGGCAACCAAGGAAUCUCUGCUACUUCUUGUGUUUCAUUUUCAGUGUCUUGAAUGUUUAAUAACUCUUGUUCUUGCCCACUCUUUAUCUUGUCAAAAUCUCCAUCUUUGUCACUUCCUGAUUCAAGAUUUCUGAUUUUGUCCUUGUAAAAUUGCUCUUGAAAUUGCAUCUAAGAAAAGGCAUUAAUAUAAUCAGUCAUGACAUAUAACUAAUAUACCGCUUAAUUUCGUCUGUGGUUAGGUGACAGACAAGUACUGCAUUGUCUUCUAAAAUUCACCUAUAUUUAAGAGAGAAGAAAGGGGGGGNNNNNNNNNNNNNNNNNNNNNNNNNNNNNNNNNNNNNNNNNNNNNNNNNNNNNNNNNNNNNNNNNNNNNNNNNNNNNNNNNNNNNNNNNNNNNNNNNNNNNNNNNNNNNNNNNNNNNNNNNNNNNNNNNNNNNNNNNNNNNNNNNNNNNNNNNNNNNNNNNNNNNNNNNNNNNNNNNNNNNNNNNNNNNNNNNNNNNNNNNNNNNNNNNNNNNNNNNNNNNNNNNNNNNUAAUUAUUCUUUAAAGUUGCAUUUCAAAUAUAUAUUUUUAUAUGCAUACCUUUAAAGCCAUCCACAUCUUCUUUCAAUGCCAUGAAACCAUAAAGUUGGCGCUUUCCACUGGGUAGGAAAUAGACCCGCCGUGUAGGCCCGAUGAGUCCAAGCAUAUCUAUCUUUCCGUUCCUCUGCAAAAUGCUUAUGCAGGCGCUCUGCCUCUAAAUACCCCUUUGCUGAGCUCUCAAAAAUCAACAUACUUAACCCGCAAUGUCCUUGCCAAUUGUAAGAGUUUUGAGCCUUAACAAUGGCAUCAUAUGAGCUGAACAAGUCUAAUAGCUCUUGACUUGUCAUGCCAAUCCACUGAAAUCCACAAUUCCAUCAAAACAAGAGCCAACUAAUCAGCAGAACAUUAAAUCUAUCUUCAGAAGAAAGUAAAUAGCAUUCUAUUGUUAUAAAUAAUCUCACCUUGUUAUUCUCAUCUUUCUUAAGCCUUGUAUUUGCAAUUAGAACCAUAGGAGGCCAAACUAUCUCAUGAUCAUUCUUCUCAUCUUUUACACUUUCCCAUUUGCUACUACUUGCUUCACCUUCAGGAAUAUUAGCUGCAACUCUUUCUCUUUCAUCUCCUGAACAUUUCCGUGAACUAGAAGCAAAAGCAGUUUGCAUAUUCAGUCUCGGUCUCAUAAAUGGGCUCUCUGAAAAUCGUGGAACCGUGUUCUUGAUAAACUUGUAGGCUGAUUUGGGCCUUCCAUUUCCUCUUCCGGUUGACAAUGUAGACCGAGCAUCAUCUCUCUGUUUUCGAGCUGCCUCUUCAUAGUUCCUUUGAGAAACCACACACUUGCUAUCAUCGUGUGCAGAUUUAUCAGUGUAGGUUACACUGUGAUUGAACUGCUCAGUUCUUACAUCCUGUGAUGGAUUGUCACUGGUGUUAGCAGUGAAAGUCCUUUCACUGCCAUAUUCUGUACUCUCCCUGGCACAUAAAUCUUUCCUGCAUCAUUGUUUUGAAGGAAAUCAAGUCACAUUCAAAUAUAUAUAUCCGCUGAUGAAAACAAAUAGUGCAGAAGUGACCAUUUUUUUUAGUAAGGGGGUAGAAUUAAAAGAAAUUAUAAGACAAACUUAUUGGUUAAAUAACCAGUUAAUGACUGGGUUUAGAAUAUAAUUGCUUCUAAUUUUCAUUUUUUGAACCCCUUAAUUUGCUUCUUAAUCAAAUAGAGAGGAAGCUGUGCCUUCUGCCAGAGAAAGAUAGCCAUUGACAUGCUAAGCUAAGUUACAGGUCAAGCCAAGUUAGGAUCAACAAGUAAGAAAUGAAAGCAACAAGAAAUAAGUAAAACCAACUGCUAAAACUCUAAACAAUUAACAAAAUGUUAAAAAAAUAGCUAAAAUUAAUGCAUCCUAACUUUUCUUUUUCCUUUUUUUUUAAAAAUUAUUUUUCUUAUGUUGUUAUUAACCAUAAUCUAGAAUAAGUACGCGUCCUUGAGGUAUUUAAUGUUCAGGUUGUUACUAAAAUUUGCAUAAAAAUUAAUUAUCAGGCAUCAAAUCUAAUUAGGGAACAUAAUCAACAAUCUCAGAUAAUAAAAAUCUCUACUUUAACACCAAAUACUAAAAAAUACACUGACCUUGAACUGAAAUUUGGAGCCACCUCCAUAGACACAGCUUUUUCCCACAGAUUCUGCACAUCCUCAGGAAGAAGAUGCUUCAAAUCAUCAAAGUUUAGGAAAAAAUCACAAUCAAAGCCUGGACAAGGAAAAGUGUCGAAACCCUCUUUGAUCUUUGCCUCCAAAUACUUGCUUAUACAGUAAUCGGAACAAAAACAGUGACCACAUUCCCCAUUCUUGAUUAGUUUCUCAUUUUCUAUCAUUUCCGUGCAAAUCACACAAAAACUGAGGGAUGAUUCAGAUUCACCUAUAUUUUUCACAUAUGGUGAUGGAUUCGGCAACUCUGAAGUGAAAAGAGAAGCCUGUAGAGCUUCUUGGAGCUGCAAUUCUUCAGCCAUUGCAGCAUCCGAUAAAAGCAUGAUUCGAAACUCAUCACCUCCAUUGUUGUUAAAGAAAGCUGGGUGAUGAGCUUCAUUGUUUGCAGGAAGAAGAUCAAAGGUUUCCCUGUUCAGCAACUUCUCUGUAAUUAGUCCUUUUUGACUGAACAUUGAAUUGCUUUUUCUCUGUCCAUGUAGGCCAUUUCUGUAAUCUUUUUAAAUUAUUAUUUUGAUCGACUAAUAAAUAAAAUAAAAAAUUAUUAUUAAAAAGAAAUUUUUAAUCGCAUUGAUCAUAUUGACUUCUUUAAUCUUUAAAAAUCUUUGGCCGUAGAGUUUGUUAUUACUAUAAGUUAAAAUUUUUUUUCUAUAUCGGUAAUAUAUUAUUUUUUUCAUUUUCUUUCAAUCAUCAAGUUUCAUUUUUACGUUCCAUUUCAAUAAUUUUGUUUUUACAAUAAAUUCAACAAAAACGAGCACUUAUAAGGGGUAAUCUAUAUGUAUACACAUAAAUAUCCAAAUGCCCUUUCAUUCUUCAAUUAACGUCUCUCAUCUCUCUCUCUCUCUCUCUCAGUUUCUAGGAGUGGCAUAAGGGUAGCUUCCAUUAUUUCUCAUCAAUGCAGAAGAAGGGAAUCUGCGGUAUCUGCAACUGACGUUUCAAUGGCAGAGCCAUGGGAGGCCACAUGAAAUCUCACUCAGCUAAACAAUUGUUACCUCCAAAACUCAUUCCAACCCGCCAACAAAACCCAUCAUCCUCUUCUUCUCCUUCUAAUUAUCCUUCAAGUGAUCAAAACCCGAUGCAAAUGCAAUCCUCUCGAUCCACCAACCAAGAACUCCCUUUGAUAUCAAAACCUAAUCUUGCUAACGGUGGAGUAAGUGAGACCGAGUUGUCACCAAGGAAUGACCCAAUUCGGAAACGAUCCAAAAGGCAGCGCAUAUCCGCCGAGAAAGCAACUGAUUCGGUCGUGAAAUCCGCCCGGUCACCAAAUUAUGUAAUUUAUAUAUCUUCUUCAAACUAUGUGUAGCGGAGAAUAAUAAAACAAGUAUUAUAUGUUCAUGGAUGAAAAAGAUUCAGAUUUCCCCUUUGAAAUUUCCUUAAAUUUGAUAUAUAAAAGAUUCAUAUUUUUCCUAUGAGAUUUCCUUAAAUUUGAUAUGGAAAAAUAAUUAUCUCUCUAGAUUUUAUAAUAUUAAUUAAUUCAACCUUUUAUUUUUAUAUAUUAAAUAUUUAGUCUAUUUUAUUUUGACAUAUUAAGUAUUUAGUUUUUAACGUUUGAUUCCGUCGCAUUAAACGAUAUUUCUGUCCAAUUUGAAUAGCUUUGCCUUUAAAUGCACAAUAAAAGACUAAAAUAGUCAAAAAUUAAAGCCACCAUUCCUCUUCUUCUCCUUCAUCUCCUCAAAUCUCUAUUUCUGCUGUUAUACAAACUCAUUAAAUAAAGAAAUAUAUUAAACAACCAUUAAAUUUAUACUGUAUCUCACUUUGAGAGCGUUACAAAUCAUAAAAAAAAAAAAAUCAUUUAAAAAAUCUGCCCCUCUUCUCCAACCACUUCUUCAUUCUCCAGAACUUGUACUGUAUUUUUUUUUUUUGGUGUAUUUGUGAGCUGGACGAAGUAGUUUUCCACCAUUCAUUUCUCUAACAACAUGGACAAUAAUCGGCAGAAUACAUACAAAGUAAAGCCCUUAAUAAACCAAAAAUGCAAGACCUCAAAUUUGAAAUUAGCUUUAGAUAUCAAAACGCCUUUUUUUUUCUUACAUUAGCAGUGUCAUUUAAUACCUUAAAAUAAAGCUUUGGCCAUAGCUACAGCAAAAUAAAAUACAGGCAAAUCAAAAUCUGUUACAAUCCAACCGUCGGUCAUUGACAUAGCCAUGGCUGCUCUUCGACUAGGAGUAGUGGAAUCUCGAAGCUUCUCCAGUCCUGUCCUCGAAAUACAAAAUUAGCAGCAUCUUCUCGGUGGUGGACGGAGUAAAUAUGGGCUGUGGCGGUGAGAGAAGGAAGACAAUAGAGAAGAGGAAAAUGGGUAAGGAAUAACGUUGAAGAAUAGCGUUUGUCAUUUUAAAAUAUCUCUCUCCUCUCUCCUCUCUUUUGCCUUUUACCUUCAUUUAACAGAAAAAAGCAUUUUAUUUUGGGCACAACGGCUAGUUUAAUGUAACCAAAUCAAAUUUUAAGAACUAAAUAUUAAAUAUAUAAAAAUAUCUAAUAUAUAAAAAUACGAGAAUGAAUUAAUUAAUUUUGUAAAACCUUAAGGAAGAGAUAGUUAUUUUCUCAUUAUAUAUAUAUAGAGUAACUGUAUACCAAACCAAUUAUAAAGUUCAAAUGAGAAUAUUUUUAAUUUGAAAUUUAUUAUCUAGAAAAAAGUUUUUUAUUAAAAAUGUCACUAUUUUAUAUAUUUUUUUUCUAGUGAAUGUUAAAAUAAUAUGCUAAAAUAUUGUUUAGAAUUAAUUUGGUAUAUAAAUGGGUACAUAUAUUGGAUGCGAGUAAAUCUACCAAUUAUAAAUCAUGCACAAAAAAAAAUAAUAAAACAUUAAUAUUAUUUCAAAAUAUAAUUAUUCAUAAUUAUUUUUAAAUAUAAUUAUUCAUUAUUUUUUUCUAGUGAAUGUUAAAAUAAUAUGCUAAAAUAUUGUUUAGAAUUAAUUUGGUAUAUAAAUGGGUACAUAUAUUGGAUGCGAGUAAAUCUACCAAUUAUAAAUCAUGCACAAAAAAAAAAUAAUAAAACAUUAAUAUUAUUUCAAAAUAUAAUUUUACCCUAACAUAAAGUUUUCUAUUUGAGAAGCUAUUAAUUUUGGUUGGUCUUUUUAAUAAGAAAUUUUGGUUAAGCACGUGGUAGUUAUACGAAUUAGAAUCAAGGAAAAGGAAAGGUCAUGGAGAAAAAAAAAAAACCCAAAAAACAAGAAAAAAAAAUAAUGAGAAAGUCGUUUCCAUUUUCCAAUGGGGAAUGACUCCUUCCAAGCGAAGUCACCUUACAAAUCCAUGGUCUCAUCCUUUUUUUUCUCAUCUUUUAUCAAUCCAUUGUCUAGUUCUCUGCAAUGGCAAAAGAAACUCUCUCUAACGCCCAAUACGCUGAGGAAGUACUAUUCCAGGAGGAAUCAAUGGGCUCGGUGAUAAUUUCUCAGGUGAAAAACAAAAUUCCAUCAUCAAUUCCCAUGAUUGAACCAUCUCCAGAGCCAAACCCUAAAGAAACCGGCGAAUCUUCACUCAUUUUCUGCGAAAUUUGUGUAGAAAGAAAAGAAAUCGACCAAAUGUUCAAAAUCGAUAGCUGUGCUCACUCUUUUUGCUGCGAAUGUAUGAGCAAACAUGUAGCUGCAAAAAUUCAAGAUAGUACUUGUACUAUUAUUACUUGUCCAGGAAUGAAUUGCCGAGCAAUUCUCGAACUUGACAUUUGCAGAUCUCAGCUUUCCAAGGGAGUAAUUGAUAUCUGGGAGGAAAUGCUAUGCAAGGAGAUGAUAAGCGAAUGGGAGAAGUUUUAUUGUCCUUUUAAGGAUUGUUCUGCACUUUUGGUGAAUGAUUGUGAUUGUGGAGGAGAAGCUAUUAGAGAGUCUGAGUGUCCGUUUUGCCAUAGAUUGUUCUGCGCUCAGUGUUAUGUGCCUUGGCAUUCUGGAGUUGAGUGUGAAGAGUUUCAGAGGUUGAAUGAGGAUGAAAGAGGAAGGGAAGAUUUGAUGGUGAUGGAACUUGCUAGAGCUCAGAAAUGGAGUAGAUGUCCUCGCUGUAAAUUUUAUGUUGAAAGAACGGAAGGUUGCCCACAUAUAACAUGCAGGUUAGUAUACUACUGAUUCCACAGUCAGUUUUUACACUUACUGUGUUUAAUAAUAAUAUUAAUAGAAAGCUUCACAAAAAAAAAAAAAAAAAGAAAAAUUGAAGGGACAUUUUGGGUUAUUGGAAAUUUAAAAUGUAAGUGUAUUUAAUUUGAUAUUUCACUUCAAACAAAAUGUACUUAAAUGUACAGUCUUACCCAUUUAUUUAAAUGUACUUCAUACUAUCUUUUUUUUUGGCAUUGUAUAAAUUCUUUUUUUAAUUUAAAUAUUCUUUAGGUGCAGAAUGUAAAAUAUACAUAAAGCAUAGAGCUUUUUUAUAAAUUUGUCAAUUUAGAAGAUUUUGGCUUGGCUCCCUUCCUCACAAGCUGCAUCCAAGUUUCUUACACUAUGUUUGGAUUCACGAAAAACAUAGGAAAAUAGUAUAAUUUUUUUUUCUUUCACUUAUUUGGAAAUGAAGAAAUUAUAAAAGGAAGAAAAAUAUGAGAGCAAAAUAAAUUAUAGCAUUCACAUGCUAUUUUCUCUUCAAUUUGAAAGGAAAAUAAUUAAACAUCAAGAAAAUUUUUUUUUUUAUUUUUGAUUUUCUUUCCUUGAAUUGCUUUCCAAACAGACUCUAAUCUUGGUUAUGUUUGUACAAUUGCAGGUGUAAGUUCGAGUUUUGCUAUGGAUGUGGAUCGCAGUGGACAGCAAGUCACAGUGGCUGUCAGAGAAAUUAGUUAUUGGAUAAUUGAAGUAUGAGAGAAAUUAUUUAUUAUAUAUACAUACGAUUUAAAAUGUAUGAAAUGAAACCUCUAGGUAGACGUUUCCUCGUGUGGCAAAUUUUAUGUUAAUUUUUUUUGAAAACUUAAAUUUUAUGUUAAUUUUAUUUAUUAUAUAACAGUAAGAACGUAAACAAUAAUAUUCAAAAGUUAUAAAACUCAUAAAAUAAUAUUAAAAGCUAUUAUUUUUAAAUUCAUAAAUCAUAAUAAAAAAGAAAGCAAAAAAUCAUUGUAUUUAAAAUGGCUUUUGUGUUUAUAGGUAAUGUUUAAAGAGCUAUUGUGGCUAAAAUUCAUAAAAACCAUAAGAAAAUAGAAAGAGCUGAAGUUAGAGAGUAAUUUUUUUAAAAAGUUAUUAUUUUUCAAAUUCAUAAAUUAGAGAGAGGCGAGGGAGGCAUAAUUUUUCUACGAAAAUCUUUAAUUUUUUCUAGUUAAGCUAAUACCAAAUACUCAAAUUUUAGAAGUUUCAGUCUUUAAAUAGAGUGUCAUGAUGACAUCGAAUAGAUUUCUAUGAUUCUCCUUUAUAAUGAUUUGAUUAUAAUUGACAGUAAUAAAAUUUAUAAACAAGAAUUGUAUUUGAUUAAGAGAACUUGAGAGAUUGUAAUGCAUUCUUGUUUGAGUUUAGGUACAAAUAUUUAUAACAUUUAUGGCUAUUUUAAAUAAGAGAUAAAAUGAAUGAACCUUUGACCGAACAUUACUUAUUUUAUAAUGGUCAAGUAACGCUCGAUCAAUUCUCCAAUGAUGUUGCUAUGAAUAAUGAUAAGGAUAGUUAGAUUAUUUAUAAUAUACAUUUAUAAUACUAAAUAUAUAAUAGUAUUAAAAAAUAAAUAUAUCUCUUUUUAUUUAUUAUGUAGCUAAAUGAACUGAAAUAACAUUAUGGUUACGCCAAGAGAAAUAUUAUUUUUUUUUAAAAAAAAUAAUAUUCACAAAUUAUGAUAAUUUUUAUGUUGGAAAAGGCUCCAAUUUUUUAUGAAAAGAUAAAGUGAAUUUACUAUGAUCAUGCUCCAUUACAAUUAUCACCAUUCCAAGUAAUGAUUCUCAUAAAUUUCUUAUUUGUUGAUAUGUUACUGAUUAUUUUGUUUAAAUUGGGAAAUUUACUAAUAAAUUAAAUUUGUUCUCUUCUGCAAAAUAUAUAUAUAUAUAUAUAUAUAUAUAUAUAUAUAUAUAUAUAUAUAUAUAUAUAUAAGAUANNNNNNNNNNNNNNNNNNNNNNNNNNNNNNNNNNNNNNNNNNNNNNNNNNNNNNNNNNNNNNNNNNNNNNNNNNNNNNNNNNNNNNNNNNNNNNNNNNNNNNNNNNNNNNNNNNNNNNNNNNNNNNNNNNNNNNNNNNNNNNNNNNNNNNNNNNNNNNNNNNNNNNNNNNNNNNNNNNNNNNUAUAUAUAUAUAUAUAUAUAUAUAUAUAUAUAUAUAUGAUAAAUUGUGAACAAAGUAGUUUAUCCACAACUUAACUUAGAAGUUGCUAAUUAGUUCAUAAAUUUUCAUUGCUGGACAACUUCUUAUAUUUUUCCCUCAGCCAAGACUUAGGAGUAGGUCUGUCUUUAUUUUUCCUUUAUAUAGAUUCCCCCUUUUAUAAUGAAGCUUCAUAUCUAAGCUAAUUAAUGACAAUGAUUAUGCAUAAUUUAACUUUGUACUUAUAUUAUGAAUGUGUUCGAGAAUAACUUUUUAAGUAGCUUUUAAUCAAAAUGCUAAACGCUACUUAAAAAGUUAUUAGGUGACGUAGCGUUUAGAUUAGUUUUUAGAGAUUAUGAUAACGUUUUGUGAAAAGUUAAUUCACGUAACAGCUAACAACUACCAAAAUAGCUAAUUUUAUGAAACAGACUAUAUACAUAGGAUAAAAUUUUCCAAUAAAAAUUAGUGAAAUUUGUCAAAAAAAUGGAACAGAAAUUUAAAUUCAGCUGGAUAUAAUUACAAUUCACCAUUUAACGAGUCAAAAAAGAAUUGCUUGAACAUUAAUUAAGUUUCCAAUUUUCCAACGGAUAAGUAUUUUAUUUCUAGAAAAAUCCUCUUUUCCAAUUUUAAAAAUAUUGUUAUCCAAAAUCAUUCCCAAGACAAAUACAUUAACUAAAAUUUAUUUGCAACACAAAUCAAUAUAUUUUCAAUGUAGGCUGGCUUGCCUUCAAAUGGACUUAUGAUGUAGUAAUAGGCAAUGUACUGCCUUGUACGUAUGUUUGUCUAGUGACAAGUGACAAUAUUGAAUCCCUCUUUGAUCUUUGCCUCUAAAUUCUUGCUUAGGCAAUAAGCCAAGCAAAAUGAGUGACCACAUUUCCCAUUCUUGAGAACCUUAUCUUUUUCUUUCCCUUCUUUGCAAAUUUCACAAGAACUAAUAGAUGAUUCACCUCUUUGUACUUUGAUCUCUUGAAGUGAUGGUAUUUGACAAGUGAGCAAAGAGGCCUUUAGACUGUCUUGAAACUGCAAUUCUUCUGCCAUUGCCGCAUCAGAUAGUACCCAAAGCUCUUUUUUUUUUUCAUUUUCCAUCAACAAAUUAUGAGAAGUGGAUAUCUUAUUUAGAGGAAGAAGAUUAAAGGAUUCAGGAGGUAUUGCCAUUCUGCAGAAGUUUUUUGCCGGUUCUUUUAUGCUUCGCUGUCUCUAUAAAUGAAGUAGCUUAUUAUAUAGUAACAGCUUCCAUUUAAAUUGCUUACCAAGAACUUGACUUGGAAGUUAGCUUCUUUAAGGGGAUAAACUUAUUUCUAUGGCUUUUCCACAGUCACUGUAGUGGAGUGUAGGGUCAUGUGUUUGUUUGACCUUUUGCAUCUGUUACCUUUUUAUGAAGGACCUUAACAUAUGGGGGAAUAACUGUUUAUAUGAUUUGGGGACAAGAAUUACUUUCUCCUUUUUUAUUGAUUCAUGCUGAUGAAUUUUGUUUUAUUUUAUAUAUUAUACUAUAGAUUUUUAUACUGUUCCAUUACGUUGUCAUUUUUAGCCUGUAACAAGAGAUUGAAUUGGAUUUCUUUCUGUGUCUUUUCCUUGUCCUUGUCCAUCAAGAGACAAGGAAAAAUUUUUAUUUGACAGCAAAAUUUGUUCCCUUUGUCAUUCUAAAUGAUUUUUAAGUUUUGUUUUAACAAAUGUUGGGUUGCUUUCUUCAAUCCAACUCAGAUGAUAACAACUUCUAGUAGUCCAACUCUGAUAAAUUCAAAGUUUCUGUACACAUGAAAAUAUUUUCAGGAAACCCUAUUUAUAAAGCGUAGAUAUAGUUGUUAUCAUUCACCAGCUUGCUAUUGCUAACAGUCUAAUUUACUGGAUAGGCAGUCAAGUCUUCAAGUUAAUAAAUUUUAUUUAUUUUUUAUUCCUGGUCUCAUUCAAAAGCUAAAAAUCUAUUUGCCAAAGAAAUCGGAGAGUGUGAUUUAUGAUAACAUUCAAAUAGUUGAUGUUUAAUCACAAGUACAAUUCGGGAUAAAUUUUUGUUUUCAAUACAUAUUAGGAUCAGUGAUCAAUAGUUGCUCCAUUCCUUUCACAAAAAUGUAGACUCACUUGCAGAAUGUGAAAGGGGGAGGAGAGAAUUAUGCUCUGGGGCUACCUAAUAAUUCUCAUUAGUAUGGGGAUUGAAGCACCAAGAACUGGGAUGGCAAGAUCUUUCCAUGACAUCUCAAAAUACAUGGACCGAUGAUCGCUGACUCCCGGCUUUUCCCGGGGUCUCCCAGCAAAUUCUGAACUUGCACUUGCUCUUUCCCUUGCAAUUUCAGGUUUCUUAAUCUCUUCUCGUUCUCGCAACCUAGGAAUCUCUGCUACUUCUUGUGUUUCAUUUUCAAUGUCUUGAAUGUUUACUAACUCUUGCUCUUGCCCACUCUUUAUCUUGUCAAAAUCUCCAUCUUUGUCAUUUCCUGAUUCAAGAUUUCUGAUUUUGUCCUUGUAAAAUUGCUCUUGAAAUUGCAUCUAAGAAAAGGCAUUAAUAAAAUCAGUCAUGACAUAUAAUUAAUAUACCGCUUAAUUUCGUCCGUGGUUAGGUAACAGACAAGUACUGCAUUGUCUUCUAAAAUUCACCUAUAUUUAAGAGAGAAGAAAAGGGGGGGGGGGGGGGGAGGAGGGGAACAGAAAAUGUAACCUCUUUCUUCAGAUUGGCCUUACUUCUCAAAAUAUCCAUAUCCCUGGUUACCAUUUGCAGCUUCUCCUUAUACAUAGUAUUAGAUUCUUCAAGAACUUCCACAUGCCUUUGCCGCUCAGCAACUCUGUUCUUCAACCAGAGAAGCUGAUAGUUGUCUUCACUCAUUUGCCUAAUUCGGUUUACCACCAUUUCUUGGAAUGAUCUCAUUUCAUAUUUCAGCUUAGGCUUACCUAAUUGCAUAAUUUACCAAUAGAAUUAUUCUGUAAAGUUGCAUUUCAAAUAUAUAUUUUUAUAUGCAUACCUUUAAAGCUAUCCACAUCUUCUUUCAAUGCCAUGAAACCAUAAAGUUGGCGCUUUCCACUGGGUAGGAAAUAGACCGGCCGAUGAGUCCAAGCAUAUCUAUCUUUCCGUUCCUCUGCAAAAUGCUUAUGCAGGCGCUCUGCCUCUAAAU
rnacentral:lncRNA from 1 species